UACGUAGGGAGCAAGCGUUGUCCGGAAUCAUUGGGCGUAAAGCGCGCGUAGGCGGCCUCAUAAGUCCGUUGUGAAAGUCAAAGGCUCAACCUUUGAAAGCCGAUGGAUACUGUGAGGCUAGAGUCCGGAAGAGGCGAGUGGAAUUCCUGGUGUAGCGGUGGAAUGCGCAGAUAUCAGGAGGAACACCAAUGGCGAAGGCAGCUUGCUGGGACGGUACUGACGCUGAGGCGCGAAAGCGUGGGGAGCAAACAGG
rnacentral:rRNA from 1 species